rnacentral:lncRNA from 1 species
UAUUAUUAUACAUAACAUGUAUCAUCACAAGCUUAUGAUGUGUUAUCAGCUAAAAGUUAAAUAUUGUGUGCUAUAUACCAAAACUGAAUAAAACUGAUUGCUAAAAGUUAAAAUACUGUGUGCUAUAUACCAAAAACUGAAUAAAACAAGCAUUUCUCAUGUCUCAUGGCCUAGAAUGAAAGAAGCAUUUUUCCUCCAGGUUUUGUGUGGGUAUUAUAAUCUCAAUUCAAGUUUGAAAUUUUGAAUAUUAUAUAGUUCUAAGAAAAAAAAAAGUUGAAUAUUAUUAUAUGGUGACUAUUGUAUAAUUGAAAAGGUUAAGUUUAAUGGUGGGGACAAAUAGAAAGCAAGUCAAAUAACUCAGAUAAACUU